UUUCCAGUUUGCAUAAGAUCUUGCAUCAGUUCCGUUGAUGAUUGUGAUGGAACGGAUGUGUUAAAGCCUUGUCGGACAUUAGAUCGGGUGGUGUUGUAAUUUGGCGAGUGUGUCGAUGGCGGAGUAAAUCCAGGCAUGGCAAAACCAGGACUAGAAUAUAUGGGGGGCUGGCUAGUAGUAGCAUGACUAGUAGUAGCUGCUGGAAAUGAUGCGGGAAGAAUAUGCGGGAAUGGUGCGGGAGGAAUAGUCGGGAAUGGAGUGGGGUAAGGAGGUGGAGUAGUAGCAGUAGGAAUAGGAGUACCAGUAGGAAUAGGAGUACC
rnacentral:lncRNA from 1 species